CCACUCUGCCAGCAGCCAAAAUCCACCAGCCGCUGAGCCCAGAACCAGAGCCCUGUCCCAGGGCAACACCUGCAUCCCACCGGCUGCCCUGGCACGGCUUUGCCGCAGGCACCGCAGCGAUGGGCACAGCCACUCCUGCCGGACACCCCAACCGCGGGUAUGGCUAAAACAGACCAGGGACUAAAACUGCCGAGUUCUGACGAAGAGAGCCUGGACUCACCCUCCAGCCUAAUGAGCCUAAUUAUUCUCCUGGUCCGAAGAAAGACAGCAGCCAGGUUGGGAAACUGAAGAUGAUGUUUUGGAAAGGACAGCUGAUCAGAAGCACAGGCGGGCAGAGCCGCCGUGCCCGUCCGCACCCUCCGAGGUUGGCCAUCGAUAAGCAGACGUUGUACGUGCGUCAAGUUGAGCAGAAACUCAGAUAAGGAGGACGGCUGAACUGGACUCCAUCCAGCAUGGUGGUGUGUCUUUUAAGACCUAAUUAUCGUCACACCAUACUGCGGAGGUGCCAGCUCCAUGGCUCUGACACACUGCAGGUUGGUGGGUACUUCCAUCCCAGCUCUCCACUGCUGUGUAAACUUUGAGGAGGCUGUGCCUUGCUCAAACUUUGCCUUGGAUAUCAGGAAUCCUGCGCAAGGACUUCAGGAUUAAUUCUUAAACUUCAGAGCACAGAACGUGGUUAAGGUCGACAAAAAGCAAUGAUUGCCUCCAGUCCAGAAAAAAAAAAAAAUAAUCCAGUAAUACCAGAGUCAGUAUUUUAUUCUGCUUAAACCACAGGGAGGUUGGAUGCGGUAGCAGCUCAUUUUCCUGUAGGGCCUCAUCAGAUUGGUACAAGGCUUAAUGACAACAGCUAAAGAAAGAGAAAGACACCAUGGAUUUCGCUUGGCCACUUUUAACUUCUACCUUCAAAGUCUGGCGUAUUUAAUUCAGAUCAUAUAAAAAUUCCAGUGGUGAAGGGUGGAGAAAACUGCACAUUGAAUGAAGACUUUUGUUUUCCUGAGCAGAGCUGAAAUGAAGAAGAAGCUGGGUUGUGACGAUCAGAUUUCUCCUCUAGGUCACAAGUUCAUCCAUCAUCGGAUUUCAUGUCAUGGGGCUGGGCUGGUCCUAAUUGCAGCCAGCCAGGACCCCGCACAUCAGUGAGCUUUGGCUCUGGGCUCCUUCCAUAAGAUAUAUAUUGCAGUCAAAGUUGUACCUAAAUAAUUUUAAAUGUGUUUUUAAGAGUGAAUCAUUACCUUCCAAUUCUACAACACAGCAGAAAAUGAAAUUAGAUGCUGGCUUAGGUUCAUAUAAAAUAUAAAACCCAAUACUUGACCGGUUUGUUGCUGCAGUAGGUUUAUUUUGCACAAAUUUAAUACAGGCAUUAAGCUAUGAUCUGGUAGCUAUGAUCUGGGAUUCAAACGUAUCUGGCACCUCACAGGGAUAGAGGAACCAAAAUCCUGAGAUACGUGGUCCGAGGGCCCAGGCCCUGAAUCCAGACGUCAGCGGUGGAGGAUGGAUGAAGUACGGUCAAGCUGAGCCCAGCUCGUGCAGCAGGUGAGCAGGGAUCUGUGCAAGCAGCGCUCUGCAGCACCGGUCCUGAGUGAUCCCGCUACAUAACUAAAUGAAUUAUUUAUACAUCUUGGGGAGAGAAGCUAUAGCCACAUCUCAAGCUGAAAUAAUAAUAAAAAAACC